rfam:Myotis brandtii contig220595, whole genome shotgun sequence.
GGCGGUUCUCGGGUGAUGCACCCUGGAAUCAGGCUCCCUCCUCUCUGUUUCCGGUGCAUCACCGGAGAACUGCA